rnacentral:lncRNA from 1 species
UGAAAUGGUGUCUGUGCUCCUCUUGCAACUUCAGGUAAGAGGAGAACCCAAGGGUUGCCACCACUCAGAGGAGCACAGCAGGAUUAGCCCCACACAGUACUUCUAAAGCUGCUGUGCUCAUAACUAGGGAAGCAGAAGAGGAGAUCGUCCUCUGACCCUGGCAACCAGGGAUGAUGGCACGUGCCUAGGCUCAAGCAUGGCAAUUCUCCCAUCCAGAACUUGGAAUCUUCGGGGCAUUAAGAGUCAGGCAGGGGCAGCAGCCCACGUUCAGCUGGAAUUCUGUGGCUUAACCCAGGGGUUUUCUGUGUGUCACGAGAGAUAACACAACACUCUCACCAACGAAGUUGAAUAAAUUAUAUUUAGGACUCACAAGCUGGUGUAGUGGGAACUAUUUGCAGCUUUUUGAGCAGGGGAGGAAUGACGAUCAAAGCUGUAUUUAAGGAAGAAGAAUCUGACAGUGCUGCGUGGGCUUCGCUGGAACUGGGCAGUGAGAAGGCUAGAAAUUGCAUUUGUUCCGGUAAAAGUGAUAAAAAAGAAAUGACCAGAAGUGGAAAGGUGGGUUGGUGAACCAAUGUUUCCACCUCUGAAGGGCCAUGGACCAAGGGGGGAGGAUUUACUCUUCUCUGUUAAGAAGGAGCUCUGCUGUCCUGACCAAAUGCCAGAAGAUGUGACUUUGCUCAGACCAAGCUACCAAAGACCACUGCCCUUCGUUCCACGAGCCUGGCCGUGUCUACACAGACGGGCAACCCAGGAGCCUGAUCUAGGAGCCGACAGGUAACUCUGGACCACACAGCACUUGGCAACUGUUUUGUUUGGUGCCUGCCCAACCAGAUACGAACCGAGGGCCAUGAAAGCUGACUCACCUUCACAGCAGAAGGCUGUUAUAUGCCCGGUCCAUGGUUGGCACUCUGUUCUGCAAAGUCAAGGUGGGAACCAUGGCAAGGGCAUUUCACAGGGCUAUCUGUUUUGCCCUGCUGCAAACAGAAUAAAAGUGCACACAGCUUUGCUGAAGAUGGGAAACUUUCCUGAUUUCCAUGAGAAAAAAAGAAACUAAACAGCUAGCAUGAGAGGCACAUUCAUGAUUCUUGGCUAUGCAAACCUGAGGCUGAUGCAUCCUCCAGCAGCUGACCACGGACAUGUGCAGCAUCACAGUGACGGAUGGCAUUUCAACCACUUGGCUUACACCUUCCUCCACUGUCACCAGCAUUCUGACAGAAAUGAGUUCCAUUUGCUCCAUUUUACAUAAGGGCAAAAGGCAGCAUUGACUCACCAAGUUUACACAGUUAGGGAAAAGAGCAACCAGGUCAGGAUCAGAUACAACAAAGAAGUGAUUGCAGAUGUUAAAUGGAACAUAGCUCUGGUCGUUUGAUAAAUAUUCAGUAAUUUCUUCAGUU